AUAACCCGGCAGGGUCACCCAUGUUGGACAGGUUUCAGAGGAGCUUGUAGACAAAGACAGACUAGGAAGAAGGACCUGGCCACUCACUUCUGAAAAAAUUGGCCAUGAAAACCCUAGGAAUAGCAGUGGAACAUUGUCUGAUAUAGUGCCAAAAGUCUUUCUCAGGGCUUCAGAAUUAUGGUGGCCACGAGGCCGAGAGCUUUAAACACUGCCAUACCUUGCAUGGAUAGCAGCACACUCUCCAAGUACCCACUACAUACAAGAUGGAGAAAGACUUGUUAAAAAGUACCAUUCCUCCUCACUCCCCAAAAGCUUAAUGUCGUCGAUUCAUAAGCACAUCUCACCUUGAUAGAAUACAAUGGAAGUACCAUUUCCACUUUCAUAAGAUUGAGCCAAGAAGAGCUAAAAUCGUCAAACUGAUAAAGAACCGUUAAGUUGUUCUCCCAAUUGUUGGAUGGCAGAUAAUUCAUUUUGGCUUAAGAGCCUGGAGGAGAACUUGAAGAAGGAACCAAGGCAAUUCCUUUUCCACAAUGUUGUUCCACAAAAAUCUCUCAAGAUUGCACGUGGUUGAGAAGUCCCAGACAACAUUGGAAUUUUUCAAGGUUGACUCAGCAAACGAUCCCUGAUGGGGUUAGUCACUCAUUCUCUGACCAGAUCUCAUCCAGAUCAUCUUAACUAGAGAUACAGAGACGGGAUGAGAGAAGAUCUAAGCUAAAUCGCUGGUUUACCUACAGCAUUGAUCUCUUUCACCUUUGGUUGUAAGUAGACUGACAACCCUGAUCAAAUUCAAAUUGGUGUUCCUGUUUGAACUAUUCCUUCUUCAAGGGAAGCUUCUUAGUAAGCAGGGUGUGGGCAAAGACAAUGAAAGUUAAAACAUGAAUUUUUGAAGGCUCC
rnacentral:lncRNA from 1 species